UAGUGAUGAAAACAAUGAGACUGCAAGUACAAGCAGCUGUAAUGAGGACCCUCUGCAGCAGAGCUGUUGAAACUGUGAAUUGAGUGGAACUAGUUCAGGUGGUUUGGGCAUUUACUGCAGCACAGAUGUUCUCAUUUACAAGUUUAAGCUGCAUUUGCCCAGUGCUGCCUACAGUAUGUAAAAGCCAUUGGAUGCCUGUCUAUUAUGCCUUUCCACAAAGACUUAUGAGACUCUGGAAAAUCAGCCCAAGUGCCCUCCAGUGUCCAUUCCACCAUCUGUACCAGACGCAGUACAUGAAGCUCACGAGAAGUUUCUGUAGGCCUCUCUGCCAUGCCAUCAAGCAAGGCAACAAAGAUGUUCCUGUAGCAGCCCACUUCAGCAGCCAUGGACACUGUGAGAAGGACUUUAAAGUCACAAUGCUUAUAGGC